CUCCCCUCCCCCUCCCUCUCCAGCUAUUCGCGACGCUGCUCUGCGCUCCGCGCGUCCCGCUCGUGGCGUUGCUAGCAUCGAAGAGACCGGCAGCGAGAGCGAGAGCGAGAGCGCGGUUCGUGUCGGAUUUUCGCGUGCUUAACUGAUUUGGCCAUAUGAUUUGUUGGUGUUUGCUUCGAUGGGAUCCGCCAAGAGAGUGACUUCAAGCAGAUCUUGACGAUUCUGCGCUACAUCAAGGACAAGGCUCACAAGAACGGCCAGAAGAAGGCUGAGCAGGCCAUCUCCAGGUUUCAGGAGUUUGUAAAUGGAUGAUAAGCAGGAAUUUUCAGUGUCAUGUUGUUUGUGAAUGAUCAGGUGCCCUUUUGAUGAUUGGAGUAGUAGGUAUCAAUGCGAUGACAGGGCUUACAAAGUUACAGGUGUUGCGUGCACCAGUUGGUAUAACACGAUUUAUCCACCUUGUUCAGAGUGAACCAUAGCUAGUGUUACAGACUGAACCUUGAAGACCGAGUACACCAAGUUUCAAGCUACUCAUGACAAGUUCUGCAUAGACAAGGCUGCACAGACGCAGAAUUUCAAAGAUCUUAUCCACAUACCUGAAAGGACAAGGCUCACAAGGACGGCCAGAAGAAGAUCAUGCAGGCCAUCUCCAGCGUAGGGUGACAAAUCCAUCAUCAAGCUUCGCAAGUCCUUUGCCUCGUUCCUGGGCCCCGAUGACGAGGAUAGUGGUAUAUGGUUCUGAAGAAGAGAAAUGAUGCACAGGCACAGUACAGGGGCAAGAAAGAGUAGGUUCCGGAGGGUUUGUAUAGAGGUUUUGGUGUUCCGGUCAUGAUCAAACCUAUCUCUUUUCCUGUUCUUACAUUCAGCAGCCAUUGCUAAACUUGUGGGCGACCUUUGCUCAUGUUUUGUGCCGCAUGCAUAUUUUCUAACACCCUUCCCUAUGCCUGGACCAACAACAUUCAGUAAGAAACAUAUAGUGCUACAUAUAAUCUUGUCAAGUAUGUUUCCAAGGAAAAAUAGAAAAAGUUUACAUCCAUCGCAAGGUUUAUCAUAUGAGCUACUGUAGUUGUUUUUAUUUUUAAAAAAGGUUUAUGAGCUAGUUACAACUUACAUGGCAUCCUUUCCUGACUUCCUGUAGAUUGUAAUCGGAAGGGGCAAUCUGAACUGUGAAGGGGCCUUUCACCUUGACCAUGACGCGCUUCAGGCUGGUCUGGCACCGGAGGUGGAGGUUCCGCGUGCCGGCGGACACCAUCGACGUGAGCUGCGUCUCGCACUGCGGGCACCGGCCCGGGCAUUGGAACGUCGGGGCCGUCGUCUUCUCGCUGGGCACCCGGACGACGACGUCCUUCUCUGCUCCUGCUCGCGCAGCACGGUCUUGCACCGGACGCACUUUGCCAGCCCAGCAGCCAGGUCGCUUCAGGGGGCCUCACUGGCCAGCUCGCGGCGACUCGGCGGCGGUCGGCUUGGACUGCUUCGCCGCGUGGUGCGAUCGGUACUACUCCUGCGCGGAGGCUGCGCUGCUGUAGUUUCUGUAGCCACGCCCUCCUCGUUUUCUGUAGCACCUAUUGUAUGCCAUCGGACUAGCAAGAAUUGUCUUGCUCUACUACAUCAAUCAUACAUUACCAUCGGAAUACCAAAAAUUAGCAUGUUAUAUGCUCGAACGUGGACUACAGCUA